rnacentral:rRNA from 1 species
AGAACGAACGCUGGCGGCAUGCCUAACACAUGCAAGUCGAACGUGAUCCAGGCUUCGGCCUGGUGAAAGUGGCAGACGGGUGAGUAACGCGUGGGAACCUGCCCUGUGGUAGGGAAUAACCGUGGGAAACUGCGGCUAAUACCCUAUGAGUCCUUCGGGAGAAAGAUUUAUCGCCAUAGGAGGGGCCCGCGUCGGAUUAGGUAGUUGGUGGGGUAACGGCCUACCAAGCCUUCGAUCCGUAGCUGGUCUGAGAGGAUGAUCAGCCACACUGGGACUGAGAUACGGCCCAGACUCCUACGGGAUGCAGCAGUGGGGAAUAUUGGACAAUGGGGGGCAACCCUGAUCCAGCAAUGCCGCGUGGAUGAUGAAGGCCUUCGGGUUGUAAAGUCCUUUCGGCGGGGAAGAUGAUGACGGUACCCGCAGAAGAAGCCCCGGCUAACUUCGUGCCAGCAGCCGC